ensembl:miRNA Gm27299 predicted gene, 27299
CAUUAUCAUUUGAUUUUCGAGGCAGGAUUUUUCUGUGUGGCCCUGGCUGUCCUGGAACUCUGUCUGUAGACUGGACUGCCCUCAAAUUCAGAGAUCUGCCUUC